rnacentral:rRNA from 1 species
CCUACGGGUGGCAGCAGUGGGGAAUAUUGCACAAUGGGCGCAAGCCUGAUGCAGCCAUGCCGCGUGUGUGAAGAAGGCCUUCGGGUUGUAAAGCACUUUCAGCGGGGAGGAAGGCGUUAAGGUUAAUAACCUUGGCGAUUGACGUUACCCGCAGAAGAAGCACCGGCUAACUCCGUGCCAGCAGCCGCGGUAAUACGGAGGGUGCAAGCAUUAAUCGGAAUUACUGGGCGUAAAGCGCACGCAGGCGGUCUGUCAAGUCGGAUGUGAAAUCCCCGGGCUCAACCUGGGAACUGCAUUCGAAACUGGCAGGCUAGAGUCUUGUAGAGGGGGGUAGAAUUCCAGGUGUAGCGGUGAAAUGCGUAGAGAUCUGGAGGAAUACCGGUGGCGAAGGCGGCCCCCUGGACAAAGACUGACGCUCGGGUGCGAAAGCGUGGGGAGCAAACAGGAUUAGAUACCCGAGUAGUC